rnacentral:rRNA from 1 species
GAUGAACGCUGGCGGCGUGCCUAAUACAUGCAAGUCGAGCGAACGGACGAGAAGCUUGCUUCUCUGAUGUUAGCGGCGGACGGGUGAGUAACACGUGGAUAACCUACCUAUAGACUGGGAUAACUUCGGGAAACCGGAGCUAAUACCGGAUAAUAUUUUGAACCGCAUGGUUCAAAAGUGAAAGACGGUCUUGCUGUCACUUAUAGAUGGAUCCGCGCUGCAUUAGCUAGUUGGUAAGGUAACGGCUUACCAAGGCAACGAUGCAUAGCCGACCUGAGAGGGUGAUCGGCCACACUGGAACUGAGACACGGUCCAGACUCCUACGGGAGGCAGCAGUAGGGAAUCUUCCGCAAUGGGCGAAAGCCUGACGGAGCAACGCCGCGUGAGUGAUGAAGGUCUUCGGAUCGUAAAACUCUGUUAUUAGGGAAGAACAUAUGUGUAAGUAACUGUGCACGUCUUGACGGUACCUAAUCAGAAAGCCACGGCUAACUACGUG